GCCGUGGUGGUGGAAUUGGUAGACACGCAUGACUCAGAAUCAUGUGAGCAAUAAGCUCGUGGGGGUUCAAAUCCCCCCCUCGGCA
rnacentral:tRNA from 1 species